rnacentral:rRNA from 1 species
UACAUGUGGGGCAAGCGUUGUUCGGAAUUACUGGGCAUAAAGGGUGCGUAGGUGGUUUGUUAAGUCACGGGUGAAAGUUUUCGGCCCAACCGGAAAAUUGCCUGUGAUACUGGCGAACUUGAGUGCGUGAGGGGUAACCGGAACGAGCAGUGUAGCGGUGAAAUGCGUAGAUAUUGCUCGGAAGGCCAGAGGCGAAGGCGGGUUACUGGUACGUAACUGACACUGAGGCACGAAAGCGUGGGGAGCAAACAGG